rnacentral:rRNA from 1 species
AUUGAACGCUGGCGGCAGGCCUAACACAUGCAAGUCGAGCGAGCGGCGGACGGGUGAGUGAUGUCUGGGCAACUGCCUGAUGGAGGGGGAUAACUACUGGAAACGGUAGCUACUACCGCAUACCAUCCGUUGUGGCCAGAUGGGAUUAGCUAGUAGGUGUGGUAACGGCUCACCUAGGCGACGAUGCCUAGCUGGUCUACGAGGCUGACCAGCCACACUGGGACUGAGACACGGUCCAGACUCCGACGGGAGGCAGCAGGGGGGAAGAUUCGACAAUGGGCGCAAGCCUGAUGCAGCCAUGCCGCGUGUAUGAAGAAGGCUUUCGGGUUGUAAAGUACUUUCAGUGGGGAGGCGUUAUCUACAGAAGAAGCCCCGGCUAACUACGUGCCAGCAGCCGCGGUAAUAC